GGGUCGAUAGUUCAGCUGGCAGAACGCAUCGCUUGCACCGAUGAGGCCUCGGGUUCAAAUCCCGAUCGGUCCACCA
rnacentral:tRNA from 1 species